AGUGAACGCUGGCGGUAGGCCUAACACGUGCAAGUCGAACGGCAGCACAGUAAGAGCUUGCUCUUACGGGUGGCGAGUGGCGGACGGGUGAGGAAUACAUCGGAAUCUACUUUUUCGUGGGGGAUAACGUAGGAAAACUUACGCUAAUACCGCAUACGACCUACGGGUGAAAGCAGGGGAUCUUCGGACCUUGCGCGAUUGAAUGAGCCGAUGUCGGGUUAGCUAGUUGGCGGGGUAAAGGCCCACCAAGGCGACGAUCCGUAGCUGGUCUGAGAGGAUGAUCAGCCACACUGGAACUGAGACACGGUCCAGACUCCUACGGGAGGCAGCAGUGGGGAAUAUUGGACAAUGGGCGCAAGCCUGAUCCAGCCAUACCGCGUGGGUGAAGAAGGCCUUCGGGUUGUAAAGCCCUUUUGUUGGGAAAGAAAAGCAGCAGGUUAAUACCCCGCUGUUCUGACGGUACCCAAAGAAUAAGCACCGGCUAACUUCGUG
rnacentral:rRNA from 1 species